GUUUGUCUUGGAACUGCAAUUUUCUAUGAAAAAAAGCCUGGUUUAGUCAAGAUAAGGGACCAAAACCAUACUAGAUUGCCAACAUUCUUGAGUUUGCUCCAGAUGGAUCACUGAGCAUGUGAAACAGGAUCUGGAAAUUCCUUGCCUGUCAAUGGGAUAGCAAAAAGGACUUUAGGGAGACAAUAUCAGUGGUUUGUGGGACAGUGAGGUUUGAAUUUGGAUACUUGUGUUUCCUACUCAUCAGUUGAAAGAGGUGCAUUGAAGUGGAAAGCUAAUAAAGGAUUAAAAACUCUG